GCAGCACGGCAGCAGCAGCAGCGCCUUGGACUUCUUUACUUUCGAAUCCUAGAAUACGAAAUUCAGUACGUUUCUAGUCACGCGCGCUGGCAGAAGUUUUGCUUGCGUUUCUGCCUGUCUUCUCCCAACGACUCCGACGACGACGACGAACGCCCGUCUCUCGACUUGUAAAUUACAAAUCAAAAUCCAACAAAAGAAGAAACAUAAACGAAAAGCACAGAAAUAAAUGUUUUGACAACAAAGAAAUCACACAAAUGAAAAUGCUCGAAAUUCUAAAUUAAACUCGCAACAUGAAAAGCGCUGCGGCAACAAAACUUCUUUGGAAAAUCCCAGAGGAUGCAACAAAUACAAAUAAUCAAAAAAUAAUAAAAUUAACUAACAAAAGUUAAACUUAAAAUUAAAUGAAACUUCAAACCUACACCGAAACAGAGUGAAAAGUGAAGCAUAAGUUUAGGUGUGCGCCGGAAUGUAGUGGCGGGCACUGUGCAACACAUGUGGCAUGCCACGCGGCUGUGCAUGAUAAAAAAGAAAGCAGAAAAUAUUUUAUUUGUUUUUACCCCCCAUGAAAACCGAUAGAAAGUGCGUUUAGUGACCCCCUAAUACCCGUCGACUUCCCCGUUGACCGCAGCGCUUGAGUGAUUUGUGUUGUCCCCUUUCGACCCCAAUCGACCCCCAAUCGAAAUUCCCUUUUGACAUCUGUGCUUUGAACAACGACUCGAAUCGGCCAGAGAAAAUGCGCCGCCAACAUCUGAAACUGAAUUCGUAACCGAAACUGCAUCUGCAUCACCAGGAAUGAUGAUGCCUCUGCCAAUGGCACUGGCUCUGCCUCUGCAUCUGCAUCUGCCAGGUGGCGGAGCAGAGUCCAGUCCCUGGACUGCUGUUCCUGCUCUGUCAUGAGCCCCCGGCACUCGCCUCUGGCUAUGUAACUGUUAAAUUAAGGGUUACACCAUAUCGAGAAGUUAUCCAAUGAGAAAGCCGCUUAAAUUUUGGAGGAUCUAUGAUGGACGACAGAGAAAAAUAACGCUUUGUUUGUGAAAGAUUUUUGAGCGCAAGCAAGGAAUUAUAAAAAAACGAAAACGAAAACCAAACAAAAAAC